rnacentral:rRNA from 1 species
UACGGAGGAUGCGAGCGUUAUCCGGAUUUAUUGGGUUUAAAGGGUGCGUAGGCGGGAUGCCAAGUCAGCGGUAAAAAUGCGGUGCUCAACGCCGUCGAGCCGUUGAAACUGGCGUUCUUGAGUGGGCGAGAAGUAUGCGGAAUGCGUGGUGUAGCGGUGAAAUGCAUAGAUAUCACGCAGAACUCCGAUUGCGAAGGCAGCAUACCGGCGCCCUCCUGACGCUGAGGCACGAAAGCGUGGGUAUCGAACAGG